CAUUCGUAUUGUAUAUAGCCCCGAUGGAGAGCAAAUAGAAUAUUAUGUAUAAUGAUUGUGAAGUUCGAUGCUUGUUAUUAUUCUAUCGUAAUAAAUUUUUAGUUUUCUCGAGGGUCGGAUAAGAUCAUGGCAUAUCGACAAUGGAUCAUGGAUUUUAGAGGACCAGUAAAUUAUGCUGUUCAUUUGACUUUCUGCGUUUCCCCGGA
rnacentral:lncRNA from 1 species